GACGAACGCUGGCGGCGUGCUUAACACAUGCAAGUCGAACGGAAAGGCCCUGCUUUUGUGGGGUGCUCGAGUGGCGAACGGGUGAGUAACAUGUGAGUAACCUGCCCUUGACUUUGGGAUAACUUCAGGAAACUGGGGCUAAUACCGGAUAGGAGCUCCUGCUGCAUGGUGGGGGUUGGACAGCUUCGGCGGUUGGGGAUGGACUCGCGGCUUAUCAGCUUGUUGGUGGGGUAGUGGCUUACGAAGGCUUUGACGGGUAGCCGGCCUGAGAGGUUGACCGGCCACAUUGGGACUGAGAUACGGCCCAGACUCCUACGGGAGGCAGCAGUGGGGAAUAUUGCACAAUGGGCGGAAGCCUGAUGCAGCAACGCUGCGUGCGGGAUGACGGCCUUCGGGGUGUAAACCGCUUUCGCCUGUGACGAAGCGGGAGUGACGGUAAUGGGUAAAGAAGCACCGGCUAACUACGUG
rnacentral:rRNA from 1 species